UACGAAGGGGGCUAGCGUUGCUCGGAAUCACUGGGCGUAAAGCGCACGUAGGCGGCUUUCUAAGUCAGGGGUGAAAUCCUGGAGCUCAACUCCAGAACUGCCUUUGAUACUGGAAAGCUUGAGUUCGGGAGAGGUGGGUGGAACUGCGAGUGUAGAGGUGAAAUUCGUAGAUAUUCGCAAGAACACCAGUGGCGAAGGCGGCUCACUGGCCCGAUACUGACGCUGAGGCACGAAAGCGUGGGGAGCAAACAGG
rnacentral:rRNA from 1 species